AUGUACAGUAGAGGUGCAUUUUUUAUUAGUAAACCUACGGAGAUCUGAGGGGAUCUAUGAUGUGGGUUAAAAGGAAAAAAUGCCGAAGGAUAUGACUCCCUUGAUUUAUAUCCUGGUUAUACAGUAAAUAACUGUAUAACUGUCAUCAGUAAUGAUGGAGCGCUAUCUGUCUU
rnacentral:ncRNA from 2 species